rnacentral:rRNA from 1 species
ACUACAGGAUUCCCCUAGUAACGGCGAGUGAAGCGGGAUGAGCUCAAGCUUAAAAUCUCUGUCACAUAUUUAUUAUGUGCGGCGAAUUGUAGUCUAUAGAAGCGUGGUCAGUGUAGGCACUUGAGAUAAGUUCCUUGAAAAAGGACAGCAUGGAGGGUGAAACUCCCGUUCAUACUUGAGUAGCUUAUGCGUACGACCCGUUUUCUUUGAGUCGCGUUGUUUGAGAAUGCAGCGCAAAGUAGGUGGUAAAUUCCAUCUAAAGCUAAAUAUUGGUGCGAGACCGAUAGCGAACAAGUACCGUGAGGGAAAGAUGAAAAGAACUUUGAAAAGAGAGUUAAAGAGUACCUGAAACUGCUGAAAGGGAACCGGAUCGUUUCUAGUGUCUAUAAUCUGUGACAUAUUUCAUUGGGGAGUGUGUGCGUGUGUAUACUAUGGCAGUGGCUUUUUUGGCUGCGCUUGGUGUGCGUGCUGUAUGUGCUUACUGGUGCCCUGUGUUGCGGUGGGACGUCAAGGUCGGUUUGUAUACUGCGGGAAAUGGCUAUUGAGGAGGUAGGGCUUACGCUUGCGUUUGUCUAUUAUAUCUUGGUAGUUGUGUCGUGGUUGAGACUGAGGUGUCUACAACGUGCUUAUGAGUGGGACUGUGUCUCCGUGUGCGCCGUGUGCGGAUAGCUUGCUAUGUGUGUGUGGUGGUGUGUGGAUUGAUGCGGGCUUUAACUUGUUGCCGUUCGGGACGUUGGCGAAAUAGAGCGAUUUGACCCGUCUUGAAACACGGACCAAGGAGUCUAACAUGUGUGCAAGUGUUAGGGUGUGGAAACCCAAGCGCGAAAUGAAAGUAAAGGAUAGUGUAAACUGUCUGAGGUAGGAAAUGCUGCGGAUUUCGGUCUGUGGCGUGGCACUAUCGACCGAUCAUGAACCUUCGUGGUGAAAGAUUUGAGUUUGAGCACAUAUGUUGGUACCCGAAAGAUGGUGAACUAUGCCUGAGUAGGGGAAKCCAGGGAAACU